rnacentral:lncRNA from 12 species
UUUCGUUUAAGCAGUUACAAGAGGACAAUAUCGAACUCGCUUGCAAUAUGAAACCUGCAAGAGCUGAAGGCUCCAGAGAGCCGAGGUUGGUUGCUUUUGCUUUCAGGCUGGCCAGCAGAGCGCAGUGGAUGCAGUUCCGGGCUGUGGGGCUCUCCGAAGUUGCCCGCUUGCAGAGGGGCAGCUGCUGUGGCUCUGCGGGCACACACUGUCCAUAUGAGCAAGUUAAUGUGAAAAGGAG